rnacentral:rRNA from 1 species
UACGUAGGGUGCGAGCGUUGUCCGGAAUUACUGGGCGUAAAGAGCUUGUAGGUGGUUUGUCGCGUUGUUCGUGAAAUCUCACGGCUCAACUGUGAGCGUGCGGGCGAUACGGGCAGACUAGAGUACUGCAGGGGAGACUGGAAUUCCUGGUGUAGCGGUGGAAUGCGCAGAUAUCAGGAGGAACACCGGUGGCGAAGGCGGGUCUCUGGGCAGUAACUGACGCUGGAGAAGCGAAAGCGUGGGGAGCGAACGGG